GAUGAACGCUGGCGGCGUGCCUAAUACAUGCAAGUCGAGCGAACGGACGCGAAGCUUGCUUCUCUGAUGUUAGCGGCGGACGGGUGAGUAACACGUGGAUAACCUACCUAUAAGACUGGGAUAACUUCGGGAAACCGGAGCUAAUACCGGAUAAUAUUUUGAACCGCAUGGUUCAAAAGUGAAAGACGGUCUUGCUGUCACUUAUAGAUGGAUCCGCGCUGCAUUAGCUAGUUGGUAAGGUAACGGCUUACCAAGGCAACGAUGCAUAGCCGACCUGAGAGGGUGAUCGGCCACACUGGAACUGAGACACGGUCCAGACUCCUACGGGAGGCAGCAGUAGGGAAUCUUCCGCAAUGGGCGAAAGCCUGACGGAGCAACGACGCGUGAGUGAUGAAGGUCUUCGGAUCGUAAAACUCUGUUAUUAGGGAAGAACAUAUGUGUAAGUAACUGUGCACAUCUUGACGGUACCUAAUCAGAAAGCCACGGCUAACUACGUG
rnacentral:rRNA from 1 species